rnacentral:misc_RNA from 1 species
GUCGAAAUCUCCAUGGGGAAAUAUCGGCGCUUGGGCCGCCGAAGCCGAAAGGGCCGAAGCCGAGGAAAAGGAACAAGCCGCUGCCGAAGCUGCUGCUGCUGCCGCUGCGCCAACCGGCGCCGGCGCCGGGAAAGACACUCAGAGUUACCCUAGCCUAAAGGAAGCCGUUAACACCAAGCAGAAGAAGAAAACCAAGAUGAGCUUACAAGAGUUCACGAUGCAGAGCACUUACACACCUGCCGGAGGAUAUGGCUCCGGAUCCACUAGCCGCUUAACUCCAGAAGAGAUGCUCCGCCUUCCCACCGGUCCAAAGGAACGAUCCGCUGAAGAAAUGCAAUAUGGUCGUCUUGGUGGUGGGUUUUCUAACUAUGGGUCCCGUGGUAUGGGCCCACCAUCCGGCCGGGGAAGAGAUCGAGAGGCAGAUGGUGACGGUUCUUGGGGUGGUAAUCGGAGGUCGUAUGGUGGAUUUGACGAUGAUCGACGAGGUCCACCUUCUAGGGGUUCCGAUUUUGAUCAACCAUCUAGAGCUGACGAGGUUGAUAAUUGGGCUUCAUCGAAGAAAUCCUUACCCAUGCAAUCACUGGAUUCCGGUUCCGCCCGUUCCAAUCGGUAUGGUUCUCUCGGAUCCGGAGAUGGAAUUUCUAGGGCUGAUGGUGAUGACAAUUGGGGUGCUUCGAAAAAGUCCAAUGUCGCCCCACCGCCACAAGGGAGGCCUUGGUUCCCUGAUUCCAGGCCUGAACCAGAGCGUUGGUCUCGUGAGGCAAACCAUGAAAGGCAGAGAUUGGUUCUGGAUCCACCCAAGAUGGAGACGGGAAGUGAAAAUGUGAACGAGACUGUGGUGAAAGUGAACAAGCCUAAUCCUUUUGGGGCGGCGAGGCCACGGGAGGAGGUGUUGGCGGAGAAGGGAUUGGACUGGAAGAAAAUGGAUAAGGAAAUUGAGGUGAAGAAGGGAAUUGGAAGUAGGCCAACAAGCUCACAUUCAAGUAGGCCUGGGAGUUCACAGUCGGCCCGUUCUGAAGGCACAACAUUGCAAGGGGGAAUGGUGGAAGGUGGUGGAGUUAAACCUAAGCCGAAGGUUAAUCCUUUUGGAGAUGCAAAGCCUAGGGAAGUUUUGCUUGAAGAAAAAGGUUUAGACUGGAGAAAGAUUGAUUUGGAUUUGGAGCAUCGACGCAUUGACAGACCAGAGACAGAGGAGGAAAAGAAUCUGAAAGAAGAAAUAGAGCAGCUCAGAAAGGAAGCUACAGAGUGUUCAGAGGAGGACAAGACUAAUUUACAGAAUGUGAUUAAUCAGAAAGAGAAGGACUUGGAGCUGCUGAUCCGUGAAUUGGAUGACAAAGUCCGUUUCAGUCAGAAACCCAUUCAAAGGCCAGGCUCUGGAUCAGGCAGGGGUGCUGGACAUCCAGAUAGGAGCCUUUCUCAUCAAGCAUCUUAUGAGGACCGUAGAGCUGGUGAUCAGAUGGACAGGCCUAGAUCACGCGGUGGAGGAGAUGCAUGGGCAAGGCCAAGUGACCAAAUGGAGAGGCCUCGAUCACGUAGUGGUGCAGAUGCAUGGGCCAGGCCAAAUGAACAGGUGGAGAGGCCUCGAUCACGGGGUGGUGGAGAUGCAUGGGCAAGGCCAGGUGAUGAGAGAAGAUCUUUCCAAGGAGGCAGAGGGGGAUAUUUUGGCAGCCGAGAGUCUGAUAGGACAAGAUCUGAGGACAAAUGGUGAUGUUCAAGUACUGUGGAUUCUUUGGCCAAUAUUGCCUCCUUUUUUUGUGCUCUCUGACAAAUUAGAACAGAAUAAUAUUGUUCGAGUUCCAUCUUUUUUGGGUUUUAGUUUUGCUGCAAGGAUGAUGCUAGAAUUACCGAGUGUUGUUGAUACGAGCGUUUUUGCAGUGGAUAAUCGUCCCAUGUCAAAGUUGUGUAAAAGUGCAUUUUUCCUCCAUUUCUCUUUGGAGGCAGGGUACCUGUUUUGUUUAUUGCUCAAAACAACUAAUGUAACGUGGAAUUGUGGUCAUACUUUUUUAUCCUAAUCCUUUUAGUAGGUAAAAGCUCUGCUUUUUUAUUCAAACAAUGGUUCCCAUGUA